rnacentral:rRNA from 1 species
AUCAAAUGGAGAGUUUGAUCCUGGCUCAGGAUGAACGCUGGCGGCAUGCCUAAUACAUGCAAGUCGAACGAAGUUUCGAGGAAGCUUGCUUCCAAAGAGACUUAGUGGCGAACGGGUGAGUAACACGUAGGUAACCUGCCCAUGUGUCCGGGAUAACUGCUGGAAACGGU